rnacentral:rRNA from 1 species
AUUGAACGCUGGAGGCAGGCCUAACCCAUGCAAGUCGAGCGGAGCUGCGGACGGGUGAGUAAUGCCUAGGAAUCUGCCUGGUAGUGGGGGAUAACGUCCGGAAACGGGCGCUAAUACCGCAUACUAUCAGAUGAGCCUAGGUCGGAUUAACUAGUUGGUGGGGUAAAGACCUACCAAGGCGACGAUCCGUAACUGGUCUGAGAGGAUGAUCAGUAACCCUGGAACUGAGACACGGUCCAGAAUCCAACGGGAGGCAGCAGUGGGGAAUAUUGGACAAUGGGCGAAAGCCUGAGCCAGCCAUGCCGCGUGUGUGAAGAAGGUCUUCGGAUUGUAAAGCACUUUAAGUUGGGAGGCGUUACCAACAGAAUAAGCACCGGCUAACUGCGUGCCAGCAGCCGCGGUAAUUC